CAGGCUCAUCGACUGUAGUCAGUGCAAGAGGGCCAACUGACAAAUACGGCUGUGUAAGAUGGCAGCCUGACUUUCCCACAGAAGAAACUUUGGAGGCAAACCGUAAGGAAAUGGAGCAGCUUUAUUCCAGAGAUGGGCCAGCAGAAGGUAACAGAGGACAAUUCUAGCAGCUCAUGCAAGCAAUAUUUUACUUACAGCGCUGUGCCAUCAACGCUAGCCCAGCACCUAAGAUAGCCGAGCUGAGGAGUAAGUGGCCGUACCUUUUCACACACAAGGUUUGAAAAGGAUGGAGCGAAUGCAGUUGGCCUUGUGUUGUCCUCCUGCUGAUGGUCCAUUUCAAAGGAAGGGCGGAUGCACUCCUACAGGCCAAGGUGUCAGCCACAGCCACAGAUGUGGAGGGAUUAAUUCCCCUGCCGGACUCACCAAGACUGAUUGUUCAAGGUGACACAAUGGCUGCUGCCAAAUGGAUGAUAAGCAUGGAGAAGAGGGUCAUGAUGUCGGCCCAUUCCAACUUUGUGGCAGCGCUGGCAGCUUUUUCUUUGCCUCAUUCUACACCUUCAAUCUGCAGUACCGAGGAGGAGGCUUCACGCAACUUAGAGUUCAUCCAAAGGUAAACAAAAAUAUGCUUCUUCCUGGGGAGAAUGCCAUUGGAGGAGGGACUUUAAACUGAGGCGUUUUGUAUCACAGCUUGGUUUGGCAGGUUCAUUGAAUCAAGAUAUGUUGAUACAUUUGAAAGGCUCCUUUGUCAGAGCAUAAACACAUAAUGUGAAGGAAUUAUUUGAACUGGGGACAAUGUACAGAGGUAAUGCAGAGCACUUCAGACACAAUUGAAGACAUCAGGGGACAUAAUCAUCUUUCUAAAAUGUUGCUUGGAUGUGCUCUUUGUUUUCACAGAUGUUUUGCUGGAAUCAAUCCAUCCACAGGCUCGAUGACCGCCACAGCAGAGGUCGUCAGCAAGAAAACACAAAGUAGUGGAGAAGAAGAGACACAAUUAAUGUACGUCUGUACUCUGCUCAGGAAGAUAAUGGACUUUUAACAACUAUAGACUAGUUCCUCCUGGGCAAACAUUUCAGUUAUUUUAGUCAAUUGUGAAUUGCUCAAGUAAGUUUGGUUUGUCACUGGGGUAGACUCUUUUCUUGUGUUUUACACCUUAAGUGUUUGAAAAUGAUUCAGUAUGAACUGAAAUGGACACAUUGUUGAGGAAGUAAUGCUACUUUGGAUGUUUGGAAAUGUCUGGCAUUUACUCAACUUGAGUAGGCAACCCUUAUUAAAGCUUGAGUAUGUAGUUUUGGGAAGGGCAUAAUUAGAAAUCUGUGAAUAAGACAAAAUAUCCAUCGAGAUCUUUUCUAACCAUUAUGUCACAUAAUUAAAAAGUCCAAUGACCCUUACCAAUACUACAUACUCUGCGUUUAACCUGGGAGUGAAGGUAAGGACAAGCCUGCUAUGAUACGUUUGGCUCAUCUCUGGUGUCGGAGAACAGCCGUCUGACAGAGCUGGAUCUCAGCUACAACAAACUGACAGACACCGGGGUGGAGAGGAAGUCCACUGGGUUUAUGAAUCCACACUGUAAACUGAAGAUACUGAGGUGGGAUAUUUAUCACAAGUGUUUCUAAUUUGCAUUUACAUUUACAUUUAAGUCAUUUAGCAGACGCUCUUAUCCAGAGCGACUUACAGCGACUAAUAAUGUCAAUCGUUCAUUUAGGACCAUGUCACCACUUUAGAAGAAAUGACUGUGAUUCCAUAUUUGACUCAUGACAUUGUUUAGGUUUAGGGAGACCUCUGGUUUUGUACUGAAGGGGUUUGGCUGCUGUUGUGACCUGACUUUAUUGUCCUUCUGUUGCACCUCACUGUUUCAUUACUGGCAGAUGCAGAUCCAUUGGUAGUGUUAAUGUCGCGACAGUUCGUUUCUGGUAACAGAACAAAAUAGUCAGCACAUAGUAACUUCUGAUUUAGCUGUACUUUAAUUAAUGCAAACACGUGUGUGGUAUAUGUGUGGUUCAUAUAUAUACGGUCUCGCUGUUUUACCUCGCAGGGCAAAACAGAGAAGAGAGCGACACAUCCUAUUGUUCUCUCUUUUAUACUCUAACAGAGAUAGUUCCCGCUCAAUGCUGGCCUGUCCGAGAGAGGAGGAGCGUGGUUAAAACUUGCUCCUCCUGUCGUCGGCGUGAAGGCUGAUCCCAGCGUCGUGACGCACUUCCUGUUGCCGGUUGUAGUUCUUCUUGUCUUCAGUUGAUUUACUCGCAGUUCAUAUACUUAAUAUUGUAGCAUAGCUUCCCCAGUGUAUUAUAAAGGUUAUGCAUUCAAAUAGCCAGUUCAACCCUAACAAUAGCAAUGAUAACCAAUAAUGAUUCAUGUCAAUAAAGCUUUGCUACUGAACUGUUGUGUCUAAUCUGUCUACUUAGACGUAACGUCUCAUCAAUGCACAGUUAACGUUGAUAUACACUGCUCAACAAAAAUAAAGGGAACACUUAAACAGCACAAUGUAACUCCAAGUCAAUCACUCUUCUGUGAAAUCAAACUGUCCACUUAGGAAGCAACACUGAUUGACAAUACAUUUCACAUGCUGUUGUGCAAAUGGAAUAGACAACAGGUGGAAAUUAUAGGCAAUUAGCAAGACACCCCCAAUAAAGGAGUGGUUUUGCAGGUGGGGACCACAGACCACUUCUCAGUUCCUAUGCUUCCUGGCUGAUGUUUUGGUCACUUUUGAAUGCUGGCGGU
rnacentral:lncRNA from 8 species